CAAGAUCGUCAUAAUCAAAACCCGCAUUUAAAAAUUGGUCGGCAUCAAAUUCAUCUUGCGCCACCGAUGAUUGUCCUAAACGUGACCGUGCACGUGUAUGCGACCCACCCGCCUCGGCAUCAUGUGUACCUUGCCCCGGAGUUGGUCCUUUACGACGACCUCGUUUGGACGGAUGAUUUGCAGCAAGCUCUCUACGAGC
rnacentral:lncRNA from 1 species